GGGUUGUCCAGUCCGAAUGCCCAUCAUUAAUACUGCCCUUUGGCUGGAGGUCUGGGCCAUGUGCCUCUUCUUGGAACUGGGAAGUGAGGUCAACCUCCAGUGAGUCAUGUUGACUAGAAAUGAUGGCAACACAACAUGGUUUCUUAGAGGAUAUCCUCAAGAUACAUUCCUUUACCGUUGCUUAUUAGUCUUCUGGGAUCCCAGAAGCAAAGAAUGCAAUGCUUCCUGAACUUAGAUUCAGGGGACCCUUCUGACCCAGGGAUCAAUUCCGUGUCUUCUGCAUUGGCAGGCCAGAUGUUUUAUCCUGCUACGUUAAGUCAUCUUGACAUGCUGCCACGAAGUGGAAACAACUGCUAGUUUUAAUAUCGCUCCAUAUCUUUAUUACAAGUCGAAAGGCUUGAACUUCAUGGAUGAGGACUUGUGUUUUCAUUGAAUGAGGAACCAACUGUCUGAGCCAGCAGCUGAAGAUUCCAAAGAAUCAUGGUGUCUCCUCUGACAGUGGGUCCUUAGAAGGUCGUCUUCUAUCCCAUCAGCAAAGGCCCCGUACUGUGAUCUUCUGGUGGUGGUGACUUGCCCAUGAAACCCUCAAUCCUAGACCUUGGAGACUGCCUUCUGUCCAAAGUGUUUGAGACGGGGCCCUGGUUUUAUGAACCCAGUGCCUGUCUCUGAAAGACAGCAGAUGCAAUGAGGGCCCGGAUGGAAACAAUAAAUACCAUUCAGAUUUCCCGCGCGGAGCUUCUUAUAGUGGUGCCUUUGUUGAGGGAAACAGGGAUUGAAAUGCCGUCCCCCACCCUUCCUUUUCCCUCCAGCCCCCUUUCACUGCUAGGAUCUCAACC
ensembl:lncRNA